rnacentral:lncRNA from 1 species
GAUGAACUUACAUUCAAACGUACGAUCUAACAAGAAUACGGGAGUGGGGCAGAAUAUACAAGGAAUACAAGCGUGCUGGGCUAAGAUUCUGGUUGCUCGGAUUUUAAAGGUGCACCGGAUGAGGAUGCACAGCUCCCAUUUUGCAGGUAAAGGCUAUUUGCAACCAUAGAAUCACUAACCAAACCGACAUCAACAUCGUCGAAGUUGAGUGCCCCUCUGAUCUUCCUGCCACUGGGAAACAUCAAAGCAAAUGGCAGCGUCAUUAGGCAAGUUCAUCGCAAGAACUUUGGUGAAUGUAAUUGGUAGGUCCCUUUAUUAUAUGGACCAGGUCAAAUUAACCCAUCAAGAUCAAUUUAAUCUUUGUAUUAUUAAAAAAAAUCAAUUAAGGCCCAAAUUUCAACAGAGUUCACAUUUACUACUUAUAAAAUAUUAUUUUCUACUCUCUUUUUUGGUGUAGAACUGUCAAUGAAAAAAUUAAAUUUCAUCACUUUUUAAUCAAUAAAUGUCAACUCCAUUCCAUUUUAGCCUUACUUGAUUCUUUUUAAUAAUAUAGGAAUUCAUAUUAAUUCAUAUUAAUAGUUGAGAGGCUAAUUUGAUUCAAUCCCGAUACGAGAGGGCUUUUGUAGGUACUUUCACCCAAGAACUUCUAUACUUAAAAAAAAAUUGUUACCCAGUGAGAGGAGAAGAAUACCCAUUCAAAUGAUUGUUGAUAGCAGUUAGGUCUUUCGAAGGGCUCUGAUAGGCACGAGUACUCUCUCCAACACAAGCAUAGUAGCUUCUUGAGCUAUGCGAGAUUAGAGCAUCCAUCUGCAAAUGAAAACAAGAUCUAAUUAAUAAACAACGGCACAUACUUCUUUCCUGUGGAACCACAAAUUCCAACUAUAUUACUCAGACUCCUCAGUUAUUUUUUUUUGCAUGUACCAUGUUCAGACACCAGUCUCAUGUAUAUCUAUCUAUACACAUGUAUAUCAAACCAUGUACAAGGAUAUAGCCUUCAGUAGUCUUCCAAAUACAUGAAAAAACUAGAAAAUUCUGAACAUACCCAUCCCAGAAACAUUCCCAUACCAAACACUCAAACCGGAGAGCCUGAGCAACAUAGGGUUCAAACAACAGCAGCUAAAAAUAGAAUAAUUUUCCAUCAUGCCUUGUUCAGUCAAUCAAGAGACAUAACCCGAGAUUCAACUUUUUCUACAAGAUUCAUAGAACUUGAUAUCGGAAAUUUUAAAGGAUCUUUUUCUUUUAUUGGUCUUUUAUAAGUGCAGAAUCUCUCGAGGGGCAAUGGUUCUAAGCAAUCAACUAAACUAUUUCCCGUUUGCUCUAGAAGGCUGGUCAAAUCUGAAAUCUACGAGUCUGAUUUUCCACUAAAUGAAAAUUUGAUGACUCAGUCAACUAAAUGGCGAGAACAAGAAAAGAAAAAAAGAUUUAAGUACCUAAAAAAAGAUUUAAGUACCUUGGAUGUCCGCAAUGGAGACACAUAUACGUUAUGUGUUGCAGAUACUUUCUUUGGGGACAUAUCAGGUAGACUUGGAAAAGGAGAAACUUUAGGAGAUCCCGGGCAUGUACCUAAUUAGGCAAAAUGAUGAUAGAACAAUCAAAAUUAGAUAGCCUGCACAUGCAGCAAGAACAGAAUAUAAAACUGAAACCUGGGUACAAUAAUUGUCUAAAUGAAACAUUUACCAUCAUUACUAUUGUUGGCUUCAGCAACUCUACUCGUUCUUGUGGUUGUUCCAGCAGAACCAAGUUCUCCCAGCAAAGGCUUUAUGGAAGGAACGAAUAUUUCGUUGUAGAAUGCAAUGAUAUCAACAUUGUCCUGCCCGGUUCUCUGUUUACAUAUCAUUAAAACGGUUAAAAUUUCCUCGAAAAGCAGGGAGAUGAGAAAUUGGAGAUGAGAUAUCGUACCCCAUUUCUUCGUGCAGAUGACCUGUCAACAAAUACACUUUGGAAAACUUGUGGCUUACAUUGUGGUUGCUUCCUAUAGUUGCAAAUAAUUUCUUUGAAAGUUAGGCGCAACUGAGAAAUCUGCAAGUCAUUUAUUCAGGAAGUAAGAGAAAAUAGUGCAGAUAAAUUUAACUGCGGCUAAAAUGAUCUCAUAAGAAGCGCAGACCUUCGCAACUACAUAGAAACAACAAAGGAUGAUCUGAUCAAUAUGACGGUUAAAGAACAAAGAAGUCCUCUGGUUAAGUAUUUUUUGGAAAAGAGAAUACACACUCUCCCUUAUCUGUUGAGACAGUUGUAGCCUCUCAACCAUACCAUUAAUCCGGACAGCAGCCAACUUAUUAAUCUGGGCGGCGCAAAAAAAAAAUGGAAAAAAAAAGAAGCAAAAUGUAAGACAUGUAGUAGAUGAUAACCAUUGAAUUUAAAUCAAAUUCAAUAGUAAGUACUUGUGGGCAAUUUGCCUCAAGAAAAUUAUAUCGCAGUAGAUUUACAUUUUACUAUCAAGUACUAGGAGGUUAAAUUUUUGAACCAGUAAAAGCGUACAAAGGUACACCAUAGUUUCAUAAAAAAAGUCUAAUUCAUCUCAUGGUUUGAUACCUUGCCAAAAAAUAUACUUAUUCCUGUUUCCGCACAUGUUUCUCCUCCACCACCAGGGUUAGGACGUGUUGGACUACAAAAAAAGUACCCAAAAAGAAAAUGCAGUAAGCCAGUGCAAUUAGUACAGGUCUCUACUUCCCUAGAACUUGCACCCUACAAUACCUGGCAAAUGCAGAUUGCAAAGGUGCCUUCUUAAGGUUGUUUAAUGCUAAUAGGCGAUCCUUCACUGGUGAUGUAAAAGCAUUCCGUUCAACCAACACACUCCUCAACUCAGUGCAAGGUCUCAUGGGAGACCUGACAUCCCCAUUUUGUCCUGACAAAAGUAACAUGACAAUGUAAAUUAAGUUUAGGAUAGAAUACAUUGUGAGAAAGAACUACAAUAAAAUCCAUUAACACAAAUUACUGCAUUAAACAAGAAGAUUGGCAUACUGAUCACAAAGUUUUCCCCAUCUGAAAAUAUACUGGCUAAAAUUAAGCUACCAAUGUUGCAUACCUAAGAUUGAGCUACCAGCAUUACCCGUUGAUGUUUCGUGUUUCUGCAAAGAAGGCACUGGAGGUGUACUUCCAGAAAAGUUCACAUGUGUCGCAAUUGCAUCCAAAGGUGGCAUUGGUUCAGCCAAUAAGCCAAGACGAUUUAUUUCAGCAGAUAGGGCAGGUUUUGCAACUAUCAAAGAAUUGUACAUUGAGGAACCUUUAUCCCACACCAUGCUCUCCAAAAGCCUCUCUUCCAGAGAAUUUAGAUGCCGCCUCAGUUCUCUUGGUAGAGACUCCUCAUGUCUAAUAAAACUCUCUAUCACCUUGCUCAAAUCAAAGGCUGUAAUACCAGUUCUCUCAAGUACUGUAGGAAACAACAUUGUGGCAGUCUUAUGUGUCGCCAGCACUAGUUCAGCAGAACAAGCAAGCAUACAUCUGUGAAACCUCUCAUUAGUUAAUAAAGAGGUCAAAUUAGGUGCAUGUAAUAUUUGGGCCUCAGCAGUACACAUAGCUUCCAAAACCCUAUAGUACAACUUAAGUGCCUCCAGUAUUCGUUGUUCCAUCCAUAUGUUAUCCAUCAGGUUUACACUCUGAAGGCUUCCAGUUACACUACACUCUUGAUUUCUAGGAAAUAUUGCCUCCAAUAUUAUAUGCGCCCUACAGAUCACAUCAUUGGUAACAUCUUUAUCACAAGAUGAUAAAAAACGCUGCAACUCAGCUGAAGGUUUUGAAGGAAGAGGACAAAUAACAGAACGAAGCCAUUUCGCAGUUGUCAUUGCAGCGCUGACCGGUGUAGCUGCCAUCUUUGCACUUGGUGGCCCAAGGACACCAUUUGCAUGAGAUGCAGGAGGGCGUUGAGGAGACAGCGGGCUUGAGAUCGACUUUGAUGGUGAAGCUACUGAAUCAAAUUUCCUCUACUCAAAACAGAAUAAAUGCUUUCUUAAAUAAACUGACUGCUAAGUAAAGCAUAAAAACUAAAAAGUAAAAUGCAUUUUCUCAAAUUUGAAACAGACCUUGAUACCAGUAACAUUCAUGGUCCCUCCAGAAAAGCUCCCUAAACCAAGUAAACUAUCUUCAUCGUUUACAAACACCCUCUCAUCCAAAUCACCUUUAUUACAAAUUGCAUUAUCGUAAUCCUUCUCUAACAUAUUUAAACUGGAUGAAAGAGAUUUUUCCUCCAUUAAACCUUCAAAAUAGAUCAAGCUAUCUGCAUCAAAGAAGAUCAGGAAAAUUAGAAGCAAAACAGACGCAAGCAUGCUGCCAAAAUUGCAUUCAUGACCUAUUUGACGAACCGGUAUCAAUAUUUUCCAGUGUUUCAGUUUUGCACUCAGCUGCAGGACAUGGCUUUUUUUUCAAUAUGUCCUCUAUUAACUUAUUGGCCGUCUCCAUUUUUUUCCUCAAAUCAUCUUCUGAAGCAUCAUACAUGUUGCAAAGUGACGCAAGCAAGUCGACACCUUUGUCACCUUUCUUAACUGAAUGAUUGCAUGUCAAAGAAGUCAACAAUGAGGAACGCCAAAAUUUUACCCCCACCAGGAAAGGAAAAUAAAAAGAAUGUAAAUGAGCAAGGACUAAACAACAGUGAAGAAUGCUGGACAGAAUAAAAGAUAAAGACCAAAGAAGAAUCACAAAUGUAUUCUCUUUAUUGAAAAGGACAGAUCUAAAAAUUUGACAGCCAUGAAGAGCAGAUAAUUACCAAAAUGUGGAGAGUCAUUGAUCUUGAAGUUUCUGAAGCGAACAGGAACAUGUAUAAUCAAGAUAGCCUGUUGACAAUCGCAUUAAAUAGUAAGAAAACAUUAAACUCUCCAUUAUUGAUCAAUGUGCUAUGAAUGUACAAGGAUAGAGUGCAUCAAAGACAACAGCAUAGUUGAGUUGAAUCUUUUGAAGCACAUUUAAUUGUAACUCUCUACCUUUGCAUUCCAUUUGAUAAUUAUUAAAUUAAUCCAUUACACAUACAAAUAAUAUCAGAACAUGUUUCACCAUAAGAAAGAGAUGACAUGUUAUUCCUUAGUAAAACCAAGUGUCUACCCAAAUCAACUAGUAAUAAAGCAACAGAAAUGCGUAACUGACCAGUAUAGAAACAAAACCGUUUGCACAAGUCACUAGGUCUUUAAAACGACUGAAUGCGUGCACGCGGAGUGCCAAAAACAGUAACCAUCCAAAUCGAUGACACUCUGAUACAUAAUCUGACGAACUGGUAGCAUUUUGCUGCUUGUCAAUAUUUGCAUCACUUGUCAAGAAGAGUUCCCAAAAUGCACGCUUGUAUGACCUUUUUAUACCAUUAAAACAGCAAGAUGCAGAUGUUAUUUACUUCACAAAAUGGAAAAUUAUACACAGUAACCACAAAAUUGAGGUUUUGAGGAUACAGCUGCUCGAAGAAAAAAAAUUUAUAGCAUGCGCGAUACAAAUUGUGUAAUAUAUUAUUUCAAAUAUAAUUCUGCAAUCUGCGUAAGUGAGAAUUUCAAAUUUAUAUCACUAUCUUAACUUUAAUUUUAUCAUCCGUCUGGAGAAGACAACAGUCAAAACAUGCCAUAAACAAGGGCACAUGACCAGUUACUUUUAUAAUUAUGGCAUGUGUAUGGAUGUAUUACAUCAUUAUUGUAUUUUUGCUUUAUGGAGGAUAAAUACUUGAUAAAACCACCACAAUUAGGCCUCCUCCAGCAAAUUUUAGGCAAGGUUCGAGACGAAAUAUGAAAGUAAACUGCAACUCUAACCCUUAUAGAACAUAAGUUGACGAACCAGAAGCUAUAUACCUUUUUCACCAGUGUGAUUUUGUGCAUUUAAAACUAACCCAUCAAAUUUAGCACAUUGUAGCCCUAUUAAAGAUUAGGGGAGAAAUGCUAAUACAAUUACAAAGCUAUUUGCACAUAUUAUCUUUAUAACCUAGGUUAUAAAAGAAGGGUACCUACUUGCUUAAAAGGCUCAAGUGCACAAAAUUGGCCUGCAUCUCCGUACCCUAAUUGAUAUAAUUACCAAAAGCAGAUAGUCAGGUCGAAGUGACAUGGCCGUACAAUUUUUAAAAAAUAUAGACAAAAUAGAAAACAAGCGGAAACAUAAAUCUAUAUUCUUUCAAUACCUCAAGUCGAGUCGCACAAUCUUCACCAUACAUGUUACGUAAAACGGGACCAGCUUUUACCACAAACUGAGGCAACUCCUUAAAAAAAUCCACGAUACUGCAAAAAUAAAAUAAACUCACUAUCAUUGAAAUGGUUAUUGAUCGCAAAAGUUACCCUUACAUACACAAAAUUAACAGUAUCAUACUUCAGCUUUGUAGCUCUCAAUAUCUGGCAAAACGAAAACCCACUUUCAUCAGACUCUUGUUGCGUAUUUUCUCCAAUCUUUUCACUCAGCCGCUUGAGCGAAUAUAAGACAAAUGAAAACCAAAAUCGCUCUGCUUCUUCCAGCUAAUCAGAAUAAAUGCAACAAAGUUAUUUAAUUAAAAAGCAACUCCCUUUCGUAAUUUUCAUAUAAAAGGAAGUUAAAAUAAUAAUAAAAUAAUAAUAAUCUACCGUUCCGCUUCCAAUUGAUGAAACAUUUGACGUUAAAAGGUGUUUUGUUUCUUUGAAUAGCUUCAUAGCAUUUGAACAAGCUUUCUCAUCCAGAGAUAACCCAUUCUGGAAAUCAGGAACACAUAACGCUAAAAAACACAAAAAAGAAAAUAGAAAUACUUGAAAUAAUAUUACUGGAAAUAACAAAUCACUACCUUGCACAAAGCAUUGAAUCUAGCUUCAACGGCAUCGCCAUCUGUGCCACCAGAAGUUGCAACUGAAGGCUUCGUGUCUUCCAUAUUUAUUAAUAACCCUAGUAGUGGAUCUCAAAGUUAUCAAUUUCAGAAAAGUUCAGGAUUCAAAUCUCUCCAACAAUUUUACUCUUAAUCAGCAUAUACGAGAUUAAACUAGCUAAAUCUAUAAAUACAUAACAGCAACUUAAACCUCCGCCUCAAAAUAAAAGUUUAUGCCAACAUUUCAAAAUUUCUAGCUAUUAAUAUACAAUUAAAAAGUAAUAAUCAGUAAAAAAAUCAUUUAUACUUCAGGAAAUGGCGAACUACUUUUCAAGAGUGACAAGCAAAAAGUUGAAAAAAAAUAAAACAUUAUUCAAAGAAACCUUACAAAAUUUAGGCUUGAAAUUAGGUUGAGAUCUCGGAUCUAACGAUCCAGCAAACCAGAAACCCUAGCUUCAAAUUCCCCGCCCAAAACAUAGCGUUUUAAGGGAUCGAGAAAAAAGAAAAAGGGAAAAAAAAUCGUUCUUUAAUAAUUUGGAUUAAGAACAAUAAUCCUAAAAUUUCCCCUUUUUUUCUUAUAUAUUUUCGCCCUUCUUAACCUUGGGUUUCUUUUUGUGGAAAACCCUAUCAACGAAGGAUCUUUCCCUCUUUAGCGCGGGAAAAUUAACCAACAUAACAUCAUGAUGGAUAUGCACCAUGCACAUGACAUUCAUAGCUAGCCAAUUAUUUUUUGACGCGUACUGUUGCCGCCAUUGGAUUUUACCGCCAAAAUCCAUUAACAUCUAGCCGUAACGGAGAUUCCCGUUUUGGAAAAGAUCGGUAAAGGAUUCGCGUUUUCUCCGUCACGGUGAAUUUAACGGAGAGUUGGUGAGUUGGGCCGAGCAGUUGUCGGAGUCUUGAAAAUUGGGAAGAGAUAGUGUCAGGUAGACUCGUGUGAGUAUGGGGCCCACUGAAAGGGUUUUUUUUUUAUAGUGUCGUUUAGCGGUAAGAAGUUGUGUCGUUUUAUGUGAGUGAAAUGUUACGAUGAGUGCAUUCACAGAGACUUUUCUGUAGGACCACGUCACUGAUGCUUAGGCACGUAAGGCCUUACACCUUACAUUAUAAGCGUACACCAUUUUAUGUACAAAAUUAUUCUCUCACUAAAACAUUUGGAGUAAUUGAAAAGAAAAUUAUGAAAUGUAGUUUGGUGGUUGAUUUCUUUUAAUCAUGAUAUUAAAUAUUUAGUCUCUGUUUAAAAGAAUAAAACACAUUUCAUAAUUAUUUAUUUAUUUAUUAAGAGAGUAUCUGCACCUUAACUCGAUUUGUAUGAGCAAUGUUGCUAAUGCAGAAGGAUGUGAGUUCGAAUGCGUUGAAACCAGUACAACUAAUUGAAAAGAAAAUUAUGAAAUGUAGUUUGGUGGUUGAUUUCUUUUAAUCAUGAUAUUAAAUAUUUAGUCUCUGUUUAAAAGAAUAAAACACAUUUCAUAAUUAUUUAUUUAUUUAUUAAGAGAGUAUCUGCACCUUAACUCGAUUGGUAUGAGCAAUGUUGCUAAUGCAGAAGGAUGUGAGUUCGAAUGCGUUGAAACCAGUACAACUAAUUUCAAGAACAACAUGAACUAGAUAGGUAUUGCCAACGGGAGGACCAUCCUACCACCUCUGGCAUUGUUGCUUGCAAAAGGUGGAUUGAGUUGUUUCCUCCUCCAGAGGCUGGUUAUCCCUCUUGUCAGUGUCCCUAGAUGUUCUAACCUCAUACUAGGCAGUCUUCCAAGUCCAACAAGCGUUGUUCCUGAAACUAGUCGUGCUGCUUAAAGAGUUGAGCUAAGGUGGCGCAUCUUCUCCUACAUUUCUGUGCCUUACUGUCGGGAGCCAGAGUUUUGAUGCUGAAUAUUUUUAUGAAAAAUGUAUUCCAACAUGGAUUUGGAAAAACCAAAACCUCAAAAUCAUCAUGCAUGUUGGAUUAAAUUUUGUUUUUGGUUCCUCUACAGUAUGGUUUACAAUGCCAAUCCUUGUAUGGUUAGCUUGUUUUCUCCUUACCAAAAACAGUGGAUUUCAGUGGGAAUCUGAGUUUCCUGUUUUUGCUUAGUUUUUGGAUUCCACCAACUCAUGAUAAAUUACCGAUGGCCAAGUUAUCCUAGGGAACACUUUAGCUUUAAACUUCUCAUUCAUGUGUUAUGUCAAUAAGAAUGAAGGAACAGUACUAAUAACAUGAUUUGUGUACCUCUGCAUCAAAGUUGAGAAUCAAUUUCUAAGCCUUCUGAUAUUGAUGAUGUUUUUUUUACGUGGUGUAGGUAAACAUUUUUAUCUAAAAAAAAAGCUAUAUGAAGAAAACAAAAGUGCACACCCCAAAAUGAAAGUUUUAACUUAAAAAAAAUCACGAAAAAUAGUAUCUAAAUUAUAAAUGUUAAUAUAAUAUAAGAAUCUAAUCUAAUAUAUAUAUAUAUAUAUAUAUUUAGACGUAAAAGAGAUAACUUAAUAGUUAAGAUAGUCUUUUUUUAAAUUGUAAAAAUUAAAUAAAAAGAGAGAAAUGCCACUUGGCGCUAUAUGGGCUUCUGUACCUUAUUAUAUUAUAUAUAUUAUUUGUUACUUUAUGAAACAUGAAAGCAAAAAAACAUAUACUUGCACUAGACUUGAAACGGGAGCCCAAACCAAAAGUUUCAAAAAUUGAAGGACUUAAUAUAUAUAAAUAUACACUUUUAAAAUUUUAGGGGGAUCGGAGCCUUUACCUACCCCACAUCGACCACUUCUUCGAACUUUUUACUCUUUCUAGAUUAAUCACAUAGUUUAAAAUAGAAUUCACCAAUUGUCUCAUUUUCCUGCAUCCUUAAGGUUUCAAACUUAAUAGUCAGUAUUUUGCAACUUUGAUUGCAUAACUGUAUUUUUAACCUUAUGUGUUGUUUCAAGGAUAUCCAAACCUCAUUGGCAUGGUACACUUAGAAAUCCUCUUGAAUUAUUAGGCAUCCUCACCACAAAAAAAAUUGCAUUAAGAGCCUUUGAAUUCGCAUUAGCAAGUUUCUCCUCUUAGUGGUCCAGGUCAACUCAAACUUAGGUGUAUUGACACUAGAGGCUUUAGUGAAUGGGUGCUCCCAAUCAGUAACAACAAAUCUUCAGGCUUUUUCAUCCAUAGACUUGACGAAAGUCGUCAUUCUAGUUUUCCAGUAGGCAUAGUUCUCACCAUCUAACAUGGAGGGAUGGGACAUUGAUGAUCUUUCCAUUUCAAGCAAAUAUCAACACUAAGAAUUUUACUUGAUGUGCUAAGUGGGAGUUUUUUUACCAAUUGUUAAGACUUACAACGAUAUUUGUAAAAAAAAAUGAAUAGUGCUACGAGUAAUGCCAACUACUUCAAGCACUGAUGAAGAACAAAGAUGAACUCAAUGAUAUGUUUAUGUAGUUUGAUUUCUAUAUGUCUAUGAGGACUUGCCCAAAUAGAUAAUUCACUACCUUAACAACUCGUACAACAAGUGAUUAUAAGGACUAAUACUCACCAAAUUAGCAACCUCACUUUUGCAAUUAAGAUCUAGAUUUCUCUAUUCUAAGUUUUCUUCCUGAAACAUAGGGUGAAAACCAAGUAAUUCACUACUUAUCACACUCAAUGCACUCAAAAUUACAAGUUCCUUACUGAACAAAUAAGUGCUCAAUCUCUAUGUGAAUAACCUAUACACAUCUCAAGUAUUUAAACUACUUUCGAUUUGUUAACAUACUAGAUCAAUUAGAAUCGAUCUUCCCAUCAAUAAAGCAAGAUAAUUAGCAUGGAGAAUAUCUUCAAUGAGUCCAAGAUAUGUCUUUUAAUUUUCACUAUAUGUUACCAGGUUACUUGGUCUGAUCCAAUCUCCUUAAACUAGGGAAGACAAUUUGCUUGAUCCAAUCCAUACCAAUCUUCAAGAUAUAUUAAUACAAUUGAUUUGGAUAUCAUAGAUGGGCUUACACACAUCCAAAGUAUUAGUAAAGAUCAUAGCUUAAUAAGUUUUUAUUUACAAAAAUUGUCAACUCUAAAUAUGACAAGUUAUGAGGGUAAGUAGUUCUAAAUAGCAGUGAGCACUACUCUAAGCACUCGUAACUACCUCAACAUGAUUUAUAUAAAAAAAUUAAAAAUUAAAAUAAUGAUUAAAUUGAAUAAAAUAAAAUAAAAAUCUAGGGAUUUAUUCCAACAUUAUCAAUAUUGAAUUAUGGAAAAUUUAAUUAAAAACAGUGUAGUGUACCUUGCAUUUUUCAGAUCCUUUCAAGAACUUUUUGUCACCAGCAUCACAACAUGAGGACGUCAGAAUUGCAACACCUCCAACAGGCAACGACAUCACAACGAGAAGGCUUCUAACGUCACGAUGAGGAGGUUUCCGACAUCACAACGAGGGCGAAUAUGACGUCGGGACAACACGACUUUUUCCCCAAGUAACUCAUCCGUGAUUUACAGCAAAGCGGGGUUACUUUUCCCAGUUAAACUCUAAUCACUUCAGCAUAAUUCUAGUCAUACUAGGUCACAAAUGUUAGCCUAUUUAAAGGCAACAGUAACACUAGAAUUUAUAUAUAGAAAAUACAAAAUUGAGAGGAAAAAUAAGAGUUUUGCAGGAAUUUAGUAAGAACUUUAUAUUUUGGCUUCAUGUUUGUUUUGAUUUUCUAUCUUGUACUCUUUCGAUUUUGCUCAUUAGUGAAGUUUUCUUUUUUCGUGGCUUUUAUCCUCUUCAUCCGAGGAGUUUUUCUACGUAAAUAUUUGUUUCUCUAUUUCUUAUUUCUCGUUGUUUAUACGGGUCGAACCCCAACUAAAACAUUGCAAAAUUCAAGUAUUAAAUUAAAUAAAACAUGAAUCCUGUAAGGAUAUUUUUGGAAUAAUAUCAAGCUAGGAUUUGUCGAACAAAAAAAGAGAGGCUAAAUUGAAUAUGUAUUUAUAGAAUAAAUUUAUUAAAUACAAUCCAUUCAUGCAUUGCAGGGUUAAAAAACUAAUAUAUAUGGUAAAAUAAGGUAAAAAAACUCUUAUGUGACAUCAUAAAAUUAUGACAGUAUAUAUUUUCAUCAAUUAUAAAAUUAAUACAACUAUUUUUUUGUAACAUUUGCAAUGCACAUGAAAAUUUUAUUUAUUUAAAUUUGUCCCUAUUUUUAAAUAAAACAUUAUGUUUUUCUUAAACCUAAACUUCCCAUAUUUUUAAAGAUAUCAUCAAACUAAUUUUUAAUAACUAAAAAAUUAACUACCACACACAUUUCAUUAAAAAAAAUUACAUAUAAAAAAUAAUUUAUCAUUGAUCGCUUGUUUAUAACAAUUAAUAAAAGUUUGUCUAUUAAUAAAAUUGUAAAGUGAAACUUUAACCCAUAUUUAUAAUUUUAAAUAUGUAAUAUAGCACUUUGAUAAUAAUUAAUUUGUUACAAAAUUAUAAAAUUAGCUCAAAUAAUGUUUACAAUGUGCUCAUAUAUAAGAAAAUUUUAAAUUAAGUUAAUAAUGUUUGCAGUCAGAUAAUAAUAAUAAUAAUAAUUGUUAAAAUUUUAUUUUAACUUAAAUAAUGUUGCAUAGAUAAUUAGAAAUUUUAUAAAAAAAUAAAUUAGGUAAUUUAAAAUGUAUAUAAACCGAGACAAAUAAGAAAUUUAAAUAUAUAUUUAAAAUUUAAUAUAUAUAUUGUACAUUUUAGAUAAUUAGAUAACUUCUUUAAAAUCUUAAAAUUAGAUGAUAAUUUGAAUUAUGUGCCGUUAAACAAACUAAGCAUAAUAAUUUAUUUGAUUCUUCAAUUUUACAAAAAAAAUUAAAACUAUUUUAAACCUCCAUUUAUUUUUUUUCAUUUUUUCAUGUAAUUAGCUUUUUAACUAGCAUUAUUUGCAAAAUCGCCAUAAACAGAUAAAAUAAAUUUAUUAGCUUUAUUGACGUAACAUUCACAUGUAUGUCACAUUAAUAAUUAAUUAAUUUCUAAAAUUAAAAAAAUUAUAAAAUUAUUUUAAAAAUUAAAAAUUAUUUUAAAACAUAUAAAAAUAUUUUUAUAUAUUUUUAAAAUUUUAAAAGUUCAUUAGUUGUUGCGUGACAUACAAGUCAACUAUCACGUGAAUGGUUACAAACAUUAAUAUUUUCAUUCAUUUAAGAUGAUUUGACAAGUGAUACAAGUCAUAUAUUUAUAUCCCUCCUUUUAUCACCUUUACCUUAGAAGAUACUGUUAAAAAAGAAAUUGACCUCAAAAAAUCUCCUAAAACAAUCCCAAAGAAAAUUACCCCCUUCAAGGAGCACUGUGAUUCCGAUAUAAAUGAUGAUCAAACAGCGGUACUAUUUGGCUACAACCAGGUAAAGAAAGGCAAAACUUUAUUCAAUUUGUUAGGCCAAGCUUCAAAGUACUGUUAGCUAACAUCAGUGAACACAUUGGGAAGGUGGUGGCUAUUCUACAGUAACACACCGCUCAUACGUACCUCGUGUGAUGAACUUACAUUCAUACAUACGAUCUAACAAGAAUACAGGAGAGGGGAAGAAUAUACAAGGAAUAAGAGCGCGCUGGGCUAAGAUUCUGGUUGCUCGGAUUUUAAAGGUGCACCGGAUGAGGAUGCACAGCUCCCAUUUUGCAGGUAAAGGCUAUUUGCAACCAUAGAAUCACUAACCAAGCCGACAUCAACAUCGUCGAAGUUGAGUGCCCCUCUGAUCUUCCUGCCACUGGAAGCAGCAAAGCAAAUGGCAGCUUCAUUAGUUAAGUACAUCACGAUAACUUUGGUGAAUGUACUUGGUAGGUCCUUUUUAUUAUAUGGACCAGAUUAAAUUAGCCUAUCUAAGAUCAAUUUAGUCUUUGUAUUAUUAAAAAG